GAUGAACGCUAGCGGUAGGCAUAACACAUGCAAGUCGAGGGGCAGCAUAAUUAAAGCUUGCUUUGAUUGAUGGCGACCGGCGGAUGGGUGAGUAACGCGUAUGCAACCUGGCUUAUACAGGAGGAUAGACACUGGAAACGGUGCGUAAUACUGCGUAAUGUUAUCGGGAGGCAUCUCUUAAUAAAGAAAGAUUUCGAUUGGUAUAAGAUGGGCAUGCGUAGGAUUAGCUAG
rnacentral:rRNA from 1 species